AUUUAAAUAGUUUAUUUAAAACGUUAAUUUGUGGAAUUAAAGAUAUAGGAAGGUUAUUUUAGAUC
rnacentral:tRNA from 1 species